rnacentral:rRNA from 1 species
GUGAGGAAUUUUCCGCAAUGGGCGAAAGCCUGACGGAGCAAUGCCGCGUGAAGGAUGAAGGCCUAUGGGUUGUAAACUUCUUUUCUCAGAAAAGAAUUAUGACGGUAUCUGAGGAAUAAGCAUCGGCUAACUCUGUGCCAGCAGCCGCGGUAAGACAGAGGAUGCAAGCGUUAUCCGGAAUGAUUGGGCGUAAAGCGUCUGUAGGUUGUUUAAAAAGUAUUCUGUCAAAGAUUAGGGCUUAACCCUAGAUAGGCAGAAUAAACUUUUAAGCUAGAGUUUGGUAGAGGCAGAGGGAAUUCCCGGUGGAGCGGUGAAAUGCGUAGAUAGCGGGAGGAACACCAAAGGCGAAGGCACUCUGCUGGGCCAAUACUAACACUGAGAGACGAAAGCGAGGGGAGCAAAUGGGAUUAGAAACCCUUGUAGUCC